rnacentral:rRNA from 1 species
UACGUAGGUGGCAAGCGUUGUCCGGAAUUAUUGGGCGUAAAGCGCGCGCAGGCGGUCCUUUAAGUCUGAUGUGAAAGCCCACGGCUCAACCGUGGAGGGUCAUUGGAAACUGGGGGACUUGAGUACAGGAGAGAAAAGUGGAAUUCCACGUGUAGCGGUGAAAUGCGUAGAGAUGUGGAGGAACACCAGUGGCGAAGGCGACUUUUUGGCCUGUAACUGACACUGAGGCGCGAAAGCGUGGGGAGCAAACAGG